GCCUGGCUGGCUCAGCCAGUAGAGCAUGUGACUCCUCGUCUCAAGGUUGUGAGUUCAAGUCCCACAUUGGGCA
rnacentral:tRNA from 1 species